ACAACAUUUGGGCCGUCGGUCUGCCGAGCAAUAUUACCCGCUCGGUGGAAGAUCUUCCCUUUUGUCGU
rnacentral:pre_miRNA from 1 species